GCGAGUGUGGUGGAAUUGGUAGACACGCUGGUCUUAGAAGCCAGUGCUUAGGCGUGAGAGUUCGAGUCUCUCCACUCGCACCA
rnacentral:tRNA from 1 species